rnacentral:rRNA from 1 species
CCUACGGGUGGCAGCAGUGGGGGAUAUUGCACAAUGGGGGGAACCCUGAUGCAGCGACGCCGCGUGGGUGAAGAAGCGCCUCGGCGCGUAAAGCCCUGUCAGCAGGGAAGAACAUAACGGUACCUGAAGAAGAAGCCGCGGCUAACUACGUGCCAGCAGCCGCGGUAAUACGUAGGGGGCAAGCGUUAUCCGGAUUUACUGGGUGUAAAGGGGGCGCAGACGGCGAUGCAAGCCAGGGGUGAAAGACCGGGGCCCAACCCCGGGGCUGCCCUUGAAACAGCGUGGCUAGAGUGCAGGAGGGGCAAGCGGAAUUCCUGGUGUAGCGGUGAAAUGCGUAGAUAUCAGGAGGAACACCGGUGGCGAAGGCGGCCUACUGGACUGCAACUGACGUUGAGGCCCGAAAGCGUGGGGAGCAAACAGGAUUAGAUACCCUAGUAGUC